rnacentral:rRNA from 1 species
AUUGAACGCUGGCGGCAGGCUUAACACAUGCAAGUCGAGCGGGGAAAUGUAGCUUGCUACAUUACCUAGCGGCGGACGGGUGAGUAAUGCUUAGGAAUCUGCCUAUUAGUGGGGGACAACAUUUCGAAAGGAAUGCUAAUACCGCAUACGCCCUACGGGGGAAAGCAGGGGAUCUUCGGACCUUGCGCUAAUAGAUGAGCCUAAGUCGGAUUAGCUAGUUGGUGGGGUAAAGGCCUACCAAGGCGACGAUCUGUAGCGGGUCUGAGAGGAUGAUCCGCCACACUGGGACUGAGACACGGCCCAGACUCCUACGGGAGGCAGCAGUGGGGAAUAUUGGACAAUGGGGGGAACCCUGAUCCAGCCAUGCCGCGUGUGUGAAGAAGGCCUUUUGGUUGUAAAGCACUUUAAGCGAGGAGGAGGCUACCUAGAUUAAUACUCUGGGAUAGUGGACGUUACUCGCAGAAUAAGCACCGGCUAACUCUGUGCCAGCAGCCGCGGUAAUACAGAGGGUGCAAGCGUUAAUCGGAUUUACUGGGCGUAAAGCGUGCGUAGGUGGCCAAUUAAGUCAAAUGUGAAAUCCCCGAGCUUAACUUGGGAAUUGCAUUCGAUACUGGUUGGCUAGAGUAUGGGAGAGGAUGGUAGAAUUCCAGGUGUAGCGGUGAAAUGCGUAGAGAUCUGGAGGAAUACCGAUGGCGAAGGCAGCCAUCUGGCCUAAUACUGACACUGAGGUACGAAAGCAUGGGGAGCAAACAGGAUUAGAUACCCUGGUAGUCCAUGCCGUAAACGAUGUCUACUAGCCGUUGGGGUCUUUGAGACUUUAGUGGCGCAGCUAACGCGAUAAGUAGACCGCCUGGGGAGUACGGUCGCAAGACUAAAACUCAAAUGAAUUGACGGGGGCCCGCACAAGCGGUGGAGCAUGUGGUUUAAUUCGAUGCAACGCGAAGAACCUUUACCUGGUCUUGACAUAGUAAGAACUUUCCAGAGAUGGAUUGG